GCGACGACCGGCGCACGGGUGAGUAACGCGUAUCCAACCUGCCCAUAACUAAGGGAUAAUCCGUAGAAAUGCGGUCUAAUACCUUAUGUGAUCCGAGGAAGACAUCUGAUUUGGAUUAAAGAUUUAUCGGUUAUGGAUGGGGAUGCGUCUGAUUAGAUUGUUGGCGGGGCAACGGCCCACCAAGUCUGCGAUCAGUAGGGGUUCUGAGAGGAAGGUCCCCCACAUUGGAACUGAGACACGGUCCAAACUCCUACGGGAGGCAGCAGUGAGGAGUAUUGGUCAAUGGGCGGAAGCCUGAACCAGCCAAGUAGCGUGCAGGAUGACGGCCCUAUGGGUUGUAAACUGCUUUUGCAGGGGGAUAAAGUGAGUCACGUGUGACUUAUUGCAGGUACCCUGCGAAUAAGGACCGGCUAAUUCCGUGCCAGCAGCCGCGGUAAUACGGAAGGUCCGGGCGUUAUCCGGAUUUAUUGGGUUUAAAGGGAGCGUAGGCCGUGGAUUAAGUGUGUUGUGAAAUGUAGGCGCUCAACGUCUGACUUGCAGCGCAUACUGGUCCACUUGAGUGCGCACAACGCGGGCGGAAUUUGUCGUGUAGCGGUGAAAUGCUUAGAUAUGACGAAGAACCCCGAUUGCGAAGGCAGCUCACGGGAGCGCAACUGACGCUGAAGCUCGAAAGUGCGGGUAUCGAACAGGAUUAGAUACCCUGGUAGUCCGCACGGUAAACGAUGGAUGCCCGCUUUUCGGUCAUUAGACCGUGAGGCCAAGUGAAAACAUUAAGCAUCCCACCUGGGGAGUACGCCGGC
rnacentral:rRNA from 1 species